AUACGGAAGGCAGCAGUGGGGAAUCUUGCGCAAUGGGCGAAAGCCUGACGCAGCAACGCCGCGUGUGUGAUGAAGGUCUUCGGAUCGUAAAGCACUGUCGGGAGGGACGAAUAAGGCGGCGGCUAACAUCCGCAGCCGAUGACGGUACCUCCAAAGGAAGCACCGGCUAACUCUGUGCCAGCAGCCGCGGUAAUACAGAGGGUGCUAGCGUUGUUCGGAAUUAUUGGGCGUAAAGCGCGUGUAGGCGGCCUUGCAAGUUGGGUGUGAAAGCCCUCGGCUUAACCGAGGAAGUGCGCCCAAAACUACAGGGCUUGAGUACCGGAGAGGGUGGCGGAAUUCCCGGUGUAGAGGUGAAAUUCGUAGAUAUCGGGAGGAACACCAGUGGCGAAGGCGGCCACCUGGACGGAUACUGACGCUGAGACGCGAAAGCGUGGGUAGCAAACAGGAUUAGAUACCCCUGUAGUCC
rnacentral:rRNA from 1 species